UACAGGGGGGGCAAGCGUUGUUCGGAAUUACUGGGCGUAAAGGGCUCGUAGGCGGCCAACUAAGUCACACGUGAAAUCCCCAGGCUUAACCUGGGAACUGCGUGUGAUACUGGAUGGCUUGAAUUCGGGAGAGGGAUGCAGAAUUCCAGGUGUAGCGGUGAAAUGCGUAGAUAUCUGGAGGAAUACCGGUGGCGAAGGCGGCAUCCUGGACCGACACUGACGCUGUAGAGCGAAAGCGUGGGGAGCGAACAGG
rnacentral:rRNA from 1 species